GACGUAGGAGGCGAGCGUUGUCCGGAUUCAUUGGGCGUAAAGAGCACGCAGGCGGUUUGGCAAGUCGGAUGUGAAAUCUCGGGGCUCAACCCCGAGCGGCCAUUGGAAACUGGGAAGCUUGAGUACAGAAGAGGAGAGUGGAAUUCCACGUGUAGCGGUGAAAUGCGUAGAUAUGUGGAGGAACACCAGUGGCGAAGGCGACUCUCUGGACGGUUUCUGACGCUAAGACGCGAAAGCGUGGGGAGCAAACAGG
rnacentral:rRNA from 1 species